rnacentral:rRNA from 1 species
GUACAUGCCUACAUCAUAGCGUUAAUGCACCAGAUCCCAUUAGAACUAUGCAGUUAAGCGCAAUCGAGCUAGAGUAGUACUGGGAUGGGUGACCACCUGGGAAGUCCUAUUGUUUUACAUG